CUGAGAGAGAGGGAGAUGCCUAACAGACUUAAUGAUGGUGGGCAGGAGCCAUACCGAAAAUUUCUUAGAGAAACGGAUGUCUAAGCUGUGACAUGAAUGCUGAAUCGAUAUUGGAAGGGAGCAAAGGGCUUCUUGUGAGCCUCUCACAUGCAGGCAUGGAGGAGAUGACAGCAGAGUUGACAGCCUGGUGCUCCUGAGCCUGGGAUCCAGUUUGGGAGACAGAAUGGUGAG